AACGAACGCUGGCGGCAGGCCUAACACAUGCAAGUCGAGCGCUCACUUCGGUGGGAGCGGCGGACGGGUUAGUAACGCGUGGGAACGUGCCCUUCUCUACGGAAUAGCCAUUGGAAACGAUGAGUAAUACCGUAUACGCCUCGGGGAAAAGAUUAUCGGAGAAGGAUCGGCCCGCGUUAGAUUAGAUAGUUGGUGGGUAACGGCCUACCAAGUCUACGAUCUAUAGCUGGUUUUAGAGGAUGAUCAGCAACACUGGGACUGAGACACGGCCCAGACUCCUACGGGAGGCAGCAGUGGGGAAUCUUGGACAAUGGGGCAACCCUGAUCCAGCCAUGCCGCGUGAGUGAUGAAGGCCUUAGGGUCGUAAAGCUCUUUCGCCUGUGAAGAUAAUGACGGUAGCAGGUAAAG
rnacentral:rRNA from 1 species